rnacentral:rRNA from 1 species
GUGGAUUAGAUACCCUGGUAGUCCUGGCCCUAAACGAUGUCCACUAGAUCAUGGUUCCUCUGACGGAUUCAUGGUCGAAGCAAAAGUGCUAAGUGGACCGCCUGGGAAGUACGGUCGCAAGGCUAAAACUCAAAGGAAUUGACGGGGGCUCACACAAGCGGUGGAGCAUGUGGUUCAAUUCGAAGCAACGCGCAGAACCUUACCUGGGCUUGACAUGCUUGGAUUAUCCCUAUGAAAGUAGGGUAGGCCCUUCGGGGUACAACAAGUACAGGUGCUGCAUGGUUGUCGUCAACA